GAUGAACGCUGGCUACAGGCUUAACACAUGCCAGUCGAGGGGAAACGGCAUUGAGUGCUUGCACUGAAUGGACGUCGACCGGCGCACGGGUGAGUAACGCGUAUCCAACCUUUCCGUUACUGCGGGAUAACCUGCCGAAAGGCAGACUAAUACCGCAUGUUCUUCGAUGACGGCAUCAGAUUCGAAGCAAAGAUCCGUCGGUAACGGAGGGGGAUGCGUCUGAUUAGCUAGUUGGCGGGGCGACGGCCCACCAAGGCGACGAUCAGUAGGGGUUCUGAGAGGAAGGUCCCCCACAUUGGAACUGAGACACGGUCCAAACUCCUACGGGAGGCAGCAGUGAGGAAUAUUGGUCAAUGGGCGGAAGCCUGAACCAGCCAAGUAGCGUGCAGGAUGACGGCCCUACGGGUUGUAAACUGCUUUUAUGCGGGGAUAAAGUGAGGGACGCGUCCCUUUUUGCAGGUACCGCAUGAAUAAGGACCGGCUAAUUCCGUG
rnacentral:rRNA from 1 species